rnacentral:lncRNA from 1 species
AUGGCUCCUGCAAUUCUGAACCUUUCAAGCUCUUCUUCCUUCUCUCCACAACAUGCCAUUGUUCUCCUCGUCCAUCUAAUCAUCUUACUUUCCUGCCAUGCUGUUAAACAAUCAGCUGCAAGAUCAGUUAACUAUUCUGAGAUGGACCGGCAAGCUCUGCUAUCCUUCAAGGCCAGCAUCUCCUCUGACCCAGUCGGUGUCCUGCACUCAUGGAGCACCAGCUCACUCGACUUCUGCAACUGGAGCGGGGUCAGAUGUGGUGAUAUCCCUGGGUUAUUAGGUACUGGAAGCAAAUCUCUUAGAGUUGUCAAUCUUGCCUUCAACAGCCUUGCUGGA